CCUGCCCCUAGAGGCACUGCAGGUGUGGCUGCUGUGUCACAUGUGCGUCAGUAGGUGGCAGAGAGGAAAGAGGCUAUGUCUACGCUCAGUGUUCUGACCUGUGAACAUUUGAAUGAUUAGUAGCCUAAUAUU
rnacentral:snoRNA from 14 species